UCCCCCUCAUCCAUGCACCAAAACCAAACCUACAGCUACGGUAAGAAAUGUGUCUUGCUGCCUGGAGAAUAGAGGACAAAUACCAAUCUCAUGCUGAGAAAUUACUUAACAAGGCAUCUGGAACCAUUGGCUGAAGUCUUCAUGUUGCCAGGGGGAAAGAAAUUUGUGGCGCACAACAGUGUAGCGGUAAGAAAAGGGGAGUGAUAUCACGGAGGCAGCGUGGGACUCAAAGGCAUAAUAAAUCAGUGACUGAUUUAUUAUGUGUGUGCCGAAGUGAGGAAAAUUAAAGCGAGAGAGGCUGACAGAUGCUGGUGAAACAAAAAAAAAAGGCAAAGCGUUUCAACCAAAUGAGGCAAAAAGGAGUUUAGCAGGAACGGAGCUCCCAGGAAGCCGUCGCUGGCCGUUUAUGAGCGAUAAGGGUGAUGCACUUGGGCAGUGGUGACAAUCCUUCCAUCUGACAGGGGGUCCUCAUUAGAGAAGGGCUGGCACGUCGGAUUUUUGUUCACUCGCUCCCUCACUCUCUCCUUCUUCCUCGCGGCCCCCCCCCUCGGUCACACGCUCUCCCCAGCUGCCCACGCAGCCAAAGCUCAAGUAUCUGGCGACGGUGACAGAGGCAAGGAGUUGGGGGGCAGCGUGACUCAUGCGAGAGGCUUUUCCCAAGCCUCUCCCAGGCACUUCAGGUGGAAGCGUGUGUCUGCCUUUGGAAAUAAGUGGGUCCUUGAGCUGAAACUUGAUGGGUGAAGAUGUCACGACAGCCAUUCAGAACUGGAGCCCGGAGACAGACCAUUGAGCAGGACUGGGCGUCGCCAUGCUGCGGUGGGGGCAGGUCAUGUGAUUGCCCCUUAUGUUCCUCCCUCCCCAGGGAAUGGCAUGCAGACCCAUCUUCAGCACCUCCUCCCCUCGCUCCUGGAGCAUCCUGCUGCCACAUAUCAGUCCAGCCUCCUAGGAAUUUUUAGUAUUAAAUACAUUGAUUUUCCUCAUGAUAAAUAUCUCAAUAUAUUCCAAGUGAAGUGAAAUCCUAUCCUCUUGGAAAUUAGCACAUCAAUAAUAUUCCAAUAUUCCAAUAUUCGAGAUCCGAGAAUCGAAACUUAUAUCCAUAUGGGAGCCGCCAUUUUUUCCAGUCCGCUGCCGGACCAGGAGCUGCAUCCUGAGCGGCCAGUCAGCAGGUGACUCUUCCCAGUUC